UCUGGAAAUUUUUAUCAAUUCUGGAAUAUUUUUACCAAUUUGUAUUAUAAAAUUAACAAUUGUUUAUAUAGUAGAAUUUUAGAACAUACGUAAAUAUAAAUCUCACAUAUAGUUUCUCUUUGUUAUUUUGAAGAUUAUACUUUUUAAAAUUAUACGAUAUAAUUAGAAUACGAAGAAUUAUAAUAAUGCAGAAAUAUUUAAAUUCAUAAUAAUUUUGGUGUUUAAAUAUAUUGAUAAACAUUCGUAAUAAUAAUAAUAAUAAUAAUCCAUUUUAAAUAUAUCUUGUUCUAAAAUAAGAUUUAAUUGUCUAUAUUAAUGUUAUUUAACUAUAUUACGUGAAAUCGACAAUGUGGAAUUUAUAAUGGUCUAAUCUCGUGAUUUGUCUUGUAAAAACAAAUUCUAUGACGCAGUGUUUAAAGAAUCAUGUGGAUAAAGAAAAUUCAUCAAUUCCGAAGCACACGUAACCUUAUUACGGGCACGAUUGCCUUAAUUUUUUUCUGUAGAAGAUAAAAUCGAGAUAAAGGUCGAAAGAUCCGUGGAUUUGUUCAAUUGUCAUUAAUAAAUGCAAAAAUUUGUAAUGUAAUGUCAUCUCGUGUUUCAUUAGAAUCCAUUGCAUGCAUUGAAUCCAUAGAAUCCAUAGAAUGCAUUGUAUUUUCUUGUAAAAGUGGUGAAGAAAGUUUUGACUCUAGUGUUCUUAAAUAUCGUGAAAAAAUUCAUCCAAUAUGCCUGUCUGACACUGCACACUGUCAGAAUACACAGGCAGCCUUAAAAUGUUAUGCAGAAGCAUGACUUUACAGCUAUUCUAUUCUAUCAUUUUUAAAUGUAAGUAAUGAAACGGAACAAGAAAUUUGAUUGGAUUAGAUAUAGGAAUACUUUUGGUCCUUCGGUAAAACAUAUAUCUGAAAAUAUAAUGGCAAUAAAAUACUAAGCUUGGAUUAAAUGUCCAUCAGGUUAAAAUAUUCAUUUUCUUUUUUCAUUAGAAAAUUAAAACAAACAGAAUCAAA